AUGUGUGUCUGCCUACAUGUGAGAGGAAGACUAUAUUUUUUUAUCUUUUUUAGCAGAGCAUUCAGUGAAGAACAGAAGAAGAGCUGAAUUUUGAACACAGUGAGGCAUAAAGGAGGAGAGAUACUUCUGGUAUUGCUGACAGUAUCGUUCAGCAAACCUCAUGCACUGCCAGAGGCUGCAGGGGGGCUGAAGGACAGCUCACAGUCAGAGAAACCCAGCAGUGUUUGCCUCAGCAGAUCUUGUGGGAUCAUCUGUUGCUGCUGCCAAGAGUCCUCAGUCCUCAGCAGCAUCUGUGCCAGACUUACCAUUGAUCUUGUGAUGUGAACCUGGUGUGAAUGCCAAAGCCAAGCUGCUCGCCAGCCCCUUGUGACUCAGAAGUGAUAACUCCUGUGAGCCAAGGUGCACAGUCGGCACAGGACAGCCACCACCCAGGGAGCUGCUGAUCUGUGCCACCUCCAGCUUCUGUCAUCCACAGCUACUACUUCAGCACAGUUCUCCCUCCCCAGAUGUCCUAAGCAGCCAUAGAACAAAGACAUGAGUGAACAAUUUGCAGUUCUACAGUCUGUUCAUUAUUUCAAAACUUCUCUUUCCUGUCAUGAUUUAGAGACACCAAGAAAUGAAGUUAAAUGAAGCAUCACUUGGAUAAAACAGGGUAAACUGAACUCAUACUGAGCUUAUAAUAUUGCAUGUUUAUUUUAAAAAAUAGAUGUAAAAUCUGGUCAUAUUAGCAAUGACUUAAUCAUGUGGUAUUUGCAAGUUGAAACUUGGAGUAGCCCAUUUAAGUUCAAAAUGCCUAACUUUAAUCUGUAUAUUAUGUUAUAGUUUACAUAUUCUUGAGGAUUGCAUUUGUCCAGUUCCAGGAAAGUCCAAUAGUCCUUCUUACUGUUUGCUCCAGUGUGAAGUAGGGAGAAGGGCUGAUUACAUCGUUCCAGGAGGAGUCAGGAGGUCCUUUCCUCAUUCUCCUUCAACACUUGGCAGUGUUCUCCUCUCCACAAACAUUUCUGUAGGAAUAUCUUGAAACCACUCUGCUGUCAAAACCAGCCUGGCUAAGUAUGGCUGUUUUACUCCUAGUUCACCUGGUUUUAUGACAGAGUUGGUAUUACUUGUCGGCUCCAUGCUGUGACAGCUGUGAAAGUUAAUACAUUCUUCUUCUGCUGAAAACUGAGAUUUCGGUUUUACUUCUGGUGGCUACUACUCACCUCAGCUCUACACAAAUAGAAAUUAUAUCUUCCUGUUCUAUAGAACGUGCAAAAUCAAGCACUCUAUGUGGUUUGUGUGGGCACAACACCUACAAUAUAUUUGUUGAAAGAGAAUCGCUGUAAACCAACCUUAUAUUCCCUAUCCUCAGGCCAGACUUGGAAAGACUUUGCAAUCCACCAAAUGUGCUAAUUUGUUAAUAGAUGUGUUUGUAUGGAAUAGAGAUCCAUUUUAAAGUAUUGUUUUUUUAAAAAAUUUGAAAUCUAAUUGUUGUUACUAAUCACAGAAAUGCAUGCUGAGGAGACUGCUGAUUUCAAAGAGAGAUAUCAAUGCUUAAAGUAGCCUACAAUAGUAUGUGGUUAGAAAGAGCAGUUGAGGAUUGAUUCCCUUAAUUUCUUUGAACUAAAGGAUGAAAAGGAUAUAAAUCUGAAGUUCUUGUAAAAUGCUGCAUAGAGCUUCUGAGGCCAUAAGCUGUAGCUGUGAUCACAGUGAAAUACUUGUGUACCAGUCACCAAGGUCAGAAGGACAACAGUGUUCAAAGACCAUGACUGGUGCAAAAAAAUGGGAACUCUAAAAAUUCUAGUGAGGUGAUCUAUU
ensembl:lncRNA